GCGCGCGACCGCACGUACCAGUAACCGCGUCGUCAGGUAGACGGGCACAACGGACUCGACGCGUGUGGGUAUGUUACUCGCGGUGCACCUAUGCCGCCACAAUGUCGUUUUCCUCUAGUAGUCGUCGUCGUCGUCGCGGCGGCCGUCGUACGCAAUAACGCAAUAUUGUCGUUAUUGUUAUUAUUAUUGUUAUCACCAUCAUCAUCAUAGGUGGGUACUAUCUACGUAAUACCGCUACGCUCUCGUCGAACGAUUUUUCACACGCACGCGGUCCCGACGUGGGUUUCGCGUUUCGCGUUUAGAGGCAGGCAGAUAGAAUACGGGCGACCGAGUGCCGGUUUUUCGCGCGCGAUCCGUCCGUCAGUUUGGUGCGCGCGUGCCGCACACGCCCGUCCGCGAACCGGCGCACACCCGCGUGCGAUCCCGUCGCCUACGUAAACGCCGGUGUCCGGGUGAUAAACGAAAUAAUACCGAAGGAAAUCCCGGAUUCCCGCGGUCUUUUCGCCGACGCGAAAAUCUCCUUCUCCUUCUCCUACUCCUCAUUCUCCGACGGACCGCCGGUGUACAGUUGUCGGCCGAGCGACCGACGACCCGACCCGCCGUGCCAAUAGUACGCAAUACGAGUACCGUCGCGCAGUGCCGGCCGACUAGUGCGACACGAUGCUGGACGCUUUGCGGACGUGUUUCGCGUGCGCGCCACGGAAAAAACGGUAAGGCCAACGCUGCGGUUCUGGUUAUUUUUAAUUAGUUUUCGGUUAUUCGCGGGCGGCGAUGAGAAAGUACGUUCGGAACGGUACGGAACGCCGUGAUCGACGAGCUUCAUCCCCGGGAAAUAAUGAAAAUCGGUGUUCCGAUCGGAACCCGACGCACGGUUACCCAAAUAGUCGUUCGGUACAAACAAUAAUGCGGCCGAUAUGAAACGAAAAAUUAAAAACGGCUUUAAACGUUUGAAAACGGAUUGUUUCCCGGUGAUUUUUUCAACAGUAUUGAACGCGUUCGAAAUUUAAACGGGUUUAAAACCAGCCGGGAUGACAAUCCGCUCCGCGUACGUCUCGAUAAGAGACAAUCGUUUUGAUUUUCCACUAAUUAAAUUAAUUUAAAAAAAUUAAAAAGCUACUGCUUUAAAAUUGUCAAUUAUUUUAUCUACGAAAAUCUCUACGUGAGUGAAAUUUGUCAUGUUUAAAACACCUGUUCAAAUCGACAAAUCAAUUUUUUUAAACGUUUUGAUAAGAACAAUGUUUUUAAACACGAGUUUAAUACAAAUCAACUCUGACAGGAUAUCUUAGUCAGCCAUUUUCGGUUAAUCGAUAUGAUUUUAGCAUACUUUUUAGGAAGAGUACAACGUUUUACCUUAUCGUUUCAUGUAUAACGCGCGACUAUUAUUCUGUAUAAUAUUUAUUUAGUUUUCAAUAAAAUUAUCAAUAUAGUGUGUAAACAUUUAUUUUAUUCUGAUAAAUCGUACGGAGAAUAUUUUCCAUUUUAUUGUUUA
rnacentral:lncRNA from 1 species